rnacentral:lncRNA from 1 species
UCAAGCCCUCUCCUCUACAAAAUCCCUAGUUGAGAAAUCAACCAAGAAUUAAGUUGGUGCUUCAACCAAGUCAAGAAUAUAUACAAGUCUCUCUUUGGAUAAAAGGGACAACUUUUAUCCUUGCUUAAUAUGAGCUUAAGAGACUGUAUUUUCGUCAAUUCAGGUAUGGCCAUGUUCCCCUCUCUCAUGUAUGUGAUGUAAGACUCACGGGACGACGAUAGGAAGUCGUGAGUCCAAGUUUCACCUAUGUUAAUUGAUAUUUUUAGUGAGGAGGGAGUGUGUGGAGUGGUUUGGUAACUGCUUGUUAAUGUGUUGGAGUCAUUUAAAUGUAGUGUAUUGUUGUUAGUAAUAUGAGGGGUUGAAUACUAUAAACACCGAUCGAUUAGAAUGUCUCUUGAGUUUACACCUACCAUGUGUCUGUUGAAUUGACGACCUGACUUGGAUAUGUUGUGUAACUGCCUAAAGUUGAAUUUUCAUUUGUUGUUGUUUUAUACUAAAGGGAGCAUGGGAUAAUUCAGCCGUUGUAGUACAUUACAAGAUUUAAAUCAAGGUAUGUAAAGGUGACCCUUUCCGCCAUUUUCAAGAGCGAAUUUACGUCGUUAACAGAACUAGUACUCUAAUAUUUUUAACUAAUAUUGAGGUAUGGUAUUGUUCUGUUAGAAGGUUGUGAAGACAUGGUGAAAUCUAUAGUUGUCUGAAUGUUUAAGAUAAAUGUAUGUGACGCGAAUGACAAUAUAUAUAGUUGUUGUCGUAGUUGUAAACUGAGUUUGGAGACCCCUUAUCGUGGGCACUGUGAGCUGGUCCUAUAUGUAUUUUUAUUAAGAAGUAGUUAUGUAUAUGAGUUCCAUGUUUCCAUGUGAGUAAGGCCAAAUAAUUUAGAACUAUUUGUGCUUGUCGACACGAUAAGUUACUAAUGAGAGUCCAAUUGUAUAAUUAUCGGUACGGGUAAAAGAAGCACCUUAGAAGUAAAUGAAGCACCUUAUGGGUAGAAUAUGUGUAUAUAUGCAUAUCCUAAAUGUUAGUGGAUUAAAUAGAAAUAGAAAUAUAUGUGCUCUUGUUCAAGCUAUAUGCUAAGGCGACAUAAUAUAUUUAGGUACCUCAUUCAUAAGGCUACUAGAUUCCUUAUGACAUCUAAACCUUCUUAUGGUUGUUUAAGUAUUAAGUAGGUGUACUUAUAUUCUAUUUGAAAGCUUUAUAUGUUACAUGUACAUAGUUGCAAUUCACGAGUCUUGAAGAGUCCUAUUGAGGCCACAGUCCUAGAGGCAGCUUGCAUAUGUGAUAUAUUUAUGUAAUACCCCGGAAACUAGUAAGUGAAACUAGAGAGUUCUAGAGCCCUGUGUUAGGGUUUUAGAGUUUGAUAUGAGGGUUAAAAUCAUAACAAUGACUUUCCAUAUUUAGAAUGAAUGUUUUAGGUUUAAGGCGUCAAGGUACGAUCCCCCAAGGACCAACCAAAGGGUCCUUGAGGAGGACCCUAAAAACAGCCCCAAAAGCUGUCAAAACCACGGGCAUCUAUGGCUAGUAGUUGUUUUAAGUUGGGACUUAGGGGUUAAUUCAUUAUUAGUUAAUGGUUAAGUAGGGUCGGUUUAUUAGUAAUUAGACCCCAUAUAUAAACCUAAUAGACCCCUAAUUAAGUCAUUCUAAAUCAUUCUCUCAACUCACCAAAAAGAAACCAAAAAUUCUCUCUCUAGAAGUGAAGAAGAAGAAGAGAAGGAAGCUAGGGCAGAAUUCUUCCAUUGAUGCAAGCUUGGUGAGGCUUUGAAUCAAGGUAUGUUAGCUUAUUCAUCUAUGGACUCUUCCAUCCAUAGAACCCCCUAGAUUUCCCCCAAUUGUGAAGACAAAACCCAAUUCUAGCUAGGGUUUCUUCCUACAUUGUGGGUAGUGUUGAAGUAUGAUUCCAAUUGAGUGGAUAAUACAUAAUUAUGAUUGAUUUAGCAUUGAAUUAUGAUAUUAUGAUGAAUUUAUGUGAUUUCCAUGGUUAACCCUAGUCUAAUUGAUAGAAUUGAUAUUAUGUGGGUUUAUGUCAUGAGAGGUGAACUUGAGGAUUAAUAGGUGAUAGGUGAGGAUUCUAAAAUUAAUGUCAUGUGUAGUAAUUUUUCAAGAUUAGGAACAUAUAGACAUGAAUUGAACUAGAUUUUAGUAUAUAUGAUGGAUCAUGACUAGUAAAGUUGAAAUUGAACCUUUAUGAUGAAUUGUGACUAUAAUCACUUAAUAAUGAAGAAUGUGAUUAGAACAUUUUGAAAUCUAGAUAUGUAUGAUAAUUGUAAGAAGUAAAGCUUUGAGGGUAAGGCUUGUAUUCAUGAAUGUUGAUCACUAGGGUUUUGAGAGUAAAUCAAGAUGAUGAACUAGGCAUGUUAAGGCUUUGAGAGUAAAGUCUAUAUGAGAAUAGAAGCUUAAUGGAUAGAAUUAUGGUGGAAGACCUUUACCUACCUAAUCUACCUCAUGAAUGCUUGAAUGUAUGAAGUGAUAGAAUCACUUGAGUUAUGAUGAUAUCCAUGUCUAAUGUAGAAUUCUAGAUAUGGUAUUAUGCAUGAAUAUGAUAUGACAUGAAAGGUUCUCUCACAUAGAAUGAUUCUAGGUUGAAAUUCUAUUCUCACCUAAAAUGAAUCUAAGUCCUAGGACUAUGAAAUGUGAUGAGGCUUGUGGUGAUUACCCUAAAAGACCUUUACAUGAUAGGAAUGUGAGGUGAGUUCCCUUGCUCCUAAUUAGUUAAAUAUGAGGUGAUUACCCUUUAUGUAUGUAUGACUCCCAAGGCAAGCGGUGAUUACCCAUUAGCCUUUAUGUUGAUCAUAGAGUCGAUUACCUAUGAUCCUUAUGUGAUGAUGUGGAGGCGAAUACCUACAUUACACAUUAAUAAUGAACAUGGAGGCGAAUACCUAUGAUUCAUUAGUAUGUAUGACUAGAGGUGAUUAUCCUUGUCUUUAUGAUUCCAUGAUAUGUAUGACUAGUGGUGAUUUGCCUUGUUAUGAUUCCAUGAUAUAUAUGGCUUGAGGUGAUUCCACUUGCCCUUCAUGAUGAACUGAACAUGUAUGCCUUGAGGUGAUUCCCCUUGCAUUUAUGAAUAUGAGCAUAACUCGUUUGGAUUAUAGCUUGGUAGGCCCCUCCAAUACAUGCAUGACUAGAGGUGAUUCCCCUUGUCUUUAUGAUGUUAAGAGAUGAUAAACAUGAAUGAUGAACCUAAAGUGUCUAGCUUAGCAUGGGUAGAAUUAUAGGGUCUUGUUCAUGCAUGGCACAAACUUGCCUUGAGGUGACUCAUGAAGUGUUUCUCUUAUAUGAUAUAUGCUUAGAUAGGAUUGUGCUAUAGUUGCCUUCCUUGUUAUGUUAUGAUUGACUAAAGGUGAGAUAUUCCCUUGGUUAUGAGAAUAAGCUAAAUAUGAGAUCCUAAUGAAUGGUAAAUAUGAAUAUAGUGACUUCAAGGUUAUGCUUAGUGUGAAUGGUAUUAUGGGAUGUCAUUCAUGCAUUGCACAAGUAUGCUUUGAGGUUAUUUGAGAGUGGUCUUAUUAUGAUAUGAAUGACUAGGAAUGGAAUAAUGCUUAUAUGAUCCUUAUGUUAGAGACUUUGCUUAUGACUGUAAUAAUGUCUCUUAUGCUUAUAGUUUAUGUGUCAUAAAGUAUUUCAUAUGAUUGUGGAUUAUGUCUUACAUUGACUAACCCUUAUAUUAUGCUCUUAUGAUGUUAUGCUAGCUAACAUAUUUAGUACAUUUUGUACUAACACAUACUUUGCCUACAUUCUAAUCAAAUGUAGGGUUCGGAGAUUUGAGUUCCAAUCUUGAGGAUAGGUUUCUAAAGAGCAAAUGAGUUGAAGAUUUGGUGAGUCCUCAUAGCUUCGAGGACAAAACCCACUAUUUCCUUUAUGUCUUUUACUUUCAUGUUAUGAGACUAUUGUGUGGGCUGUGUCCUAAAGGUUUUAAUUCAAAGUUGAGUUUAGAUGGUUUGAGACAAAAGUGUAGCAAGACUUUCGCUUGCUUUUGAAAAGACUUCGAUUGUAU